rnacentral:rRNA from 1 species
ACACGACUCUCGGCAACGGAUAUCUCGGCUCUCGCAUCGAUGAAGAACGCAGCGAAAUGCGAUACCUGGUGUGAAUUGCAGAAUCCCGUGAAUCAUCGAGUCUUUGAACGCAAGUUGCGCCCGAGACCACUUCGGUCGAGGGCACGCCUGCCUGGGCGUCACGCGU